CCAAACUUGGUCAUUUAGAGGAAGUAAAAGUCGUAACAAGGUUUCCGUAGGUGAACCUGCGGAAGGAUCAUUACUGAGUGGCUGGAGCUCCCCGCUUGCGGGGGGCCGGUUACCCGACCUUUUGUCAUGUGGGCCGCGCGUCCGGACCUCUCGGGGGCCGGCGCCCUGCCCGCCGCCGGUCGUAUUCUCCAACUCUUGUUGUGUAACGGAUGAAGUCUGACGUGAAAACAAACCAAAAAAAAAGCAAAACUUUCAACAACGGAUCUCUUGGCUCUGGCAUCGAUGAAGAACGCAGC
rnacentral:misc_RNA from 1 species